GUGGGGAAUAUUGGGCAAUGGGGGAAACCCUGACCCAGCAACGCCGCGUGAGGGAAGAAGGCUUUCGGGUUGUAAACCUCUGUCCCAUGGGAAGAAAUAAAUGACGGUACCAUGGGAGGAAGCCCCGGCUAACUACGUGCCAGCAGCCGCGGUAAGACGUAGGGGGCAAGCGUUGUCCGGAAUUACUGGGCGUAAAGGGUGCGUAGGCGGCAAUGCAAGUCUAAUGUGAAAUCCCCGUGCUUAACAUGGGGAUUGCAAUAGAAACUGUAUAGCUAGAGUGCAGGAGAGGUAAGUGGAACUCCUAGUGUAGAGGUGGAAUUCGUAGAUAUUAGGAAGAACACCAGUGGCGAAGGCGGCUUACUGGUCCGGAACUGACGCUGAGGUGCGAAAGCGUGGGGAGCAAACAGGAUUAGAUACCCCUGUAGUCC
rnacentral:rRNA from 1 species